UAUUCCGAUAUGGUUCUGCCGUGACUUAGCUCUGUCCCCGCAAACCCCCUCUCUCGAUUUCUCUCACUCUACCCCUAUUAUCAUUAGGAUCUGUACCUGUAAGGAUGAAAACCUUAUUCUUUCUUCUGGGUUCACGGAAUAAAACUUCAUCUCUUCUUGUGGAUUUUACACGGGUGUCAUUAUUUAGCAACAUUGUCAUGUAUUUUUAGAUUCUACUCGAGACAUUUUCUUUCAUUUGUGGGUCCAGUUUAUGUCUGAGAAACACAUGAACACAAGUGUUGGUGAUACCCCGGAAAAGCAUUCUGCGCCAAAGAAGCAUCGUUGCAGUAAGAUGGCUUUAGCAAAAGGUACUGAUCUGGUGGAUGCAGACGUUUGGAAAAAAUUAUGCAUGCGGUGGGGUAGCAAGGAGUUCAAGGUAAAUCUGCCAUUCUAGCACUAUGGAGAACAUGAAGGUAAAAUAAAAAUUCACACUUUCUCUUUGAAUUUCCUUUAUAGAUAGAUACUGCAAUCUUGUCUUUGAAAAUUUUGCCUAAACUGAAUUUAGAUUUGAUCUGUGCUUGCUUAAAUUUCUAUGUGAAUUGAUUGAUUUUUGAAAUGAUACCUUGUGUAUCUUUGCUUGAAAAUGGGUAUCUUUGGUUACCGAAUUCAUAGACAAUUGAUUACUUGCUUGCCGCUGCUAAAAGUAGAUGUCUUUUUAUCAUAUGAGACCUUUCUGCGGACUAUGUAGUUCAUAGUUCAUUAUUUUUAAAUAUCAGCUAAAUAUGAACAAUCAAUACUGGGAUAACUCUGAAUUCCCAAUACUCAUACCGAUUUUUUUUUUUUUUUUUUUUUUUUUUCAUGAGAAUGCUAGCCCCUAGAGCUUUGCUGGUUUUUCUUUCAGGAAUUGGCCAUUUUGUGCUUUCCAGAGGGCAGCAGAAAUAGUAAACUUACAGGGUAGAAUGCUUGUUAGUGUAUAUUACAGUAAGGGUCUAUCAUCUACAAAGAUUUAGACCAGGUUCACUGUCAAGCCAUGAUCUUGUCAUGUUCUGAACCCAUUAAAUGUGUUGUUUUUCCUGCAUUCAAUUUGAUUUUAGAAAUUAUGCGCUUUUGUGUUUCUUCAGGCAGAAUAUUUUUUUGAUACUCUAGAUGGUUAAUUCAACUUAAUCUUGUUCUAGAAGCAUGCAAUGAGUUGAUGCAUUUUUUGUCUUCCAAGAUUUUAGAUCACUGAAUUUGAUUGGGAAACCCCAUUAACUUCCUCAAUGAGUAAAGGCAUGUCUAUAGGAUAUAUAUCAAUUACUUCUUAUGUAGUCUAAACAUUUUAUGUUAUGUUUUUCUAUCAAUCGACACUUUUAUAGCUUUUCAGGGACUAGCUGCUUGAAGUAUGCAGCUUUUAGCAUUUCUUUUUGCUUGGUGAUUGGUAAUAUUUUACAAAUCAUUUCCAUCUGCUUUCUUUAAAUAGUUUUGUGCCUGAAUAUGUUCUUACUUCAGUUUACAUGAAAUACUCUUGUUUAUACAGUUUCUUCAACGGGUAUUCAGCAUUGACACCGUUGUGAAACCUCUUCCACCUGCCAUGGCCUAGAAUAUCUCCUGCAACUUGAGCUUCUUCACGCGCAUUUUCAUGCAGUUCUUUGGUUUUAAAGAUGAUUGAUGCAUUGCAGAACUCUGAGUCGUAUGUUUUUGAGAUGAAGAUCUCCUCUAGAGGACAAGUUUUCACCCAGCUGGUCGCAACAGGUACAAUUAAUGAGAAUGUAGGCUGUUUGUUGGACUGAAAGAUGGUGGGUGCUUCACUUACCUUGGUCGAGGAUAUCUAGUAUCAACGUCGGUAGCAGAAACAUUGGGUGGCCUAUGUGCAACUGGAUGUUUCCUGUGUACAGAAACUCUAGUGGGUUUUUUUUUUUUUUUUUGGGAUAGCAAACUCUAGUGGUUUUUAAAUGUUAUUGUCUAUGUAACAUUGGCUUCCAGUUUGUUUAUGUAUAGAUGCUUUACCUAUAAAUGAAUAUAUGUAGAUUAGUGGGGAAAUUUGUAUUGCUUUCUAUAUGAACCCUUGAAUAGAAGCUUGCAGGUUAUAUUACCA